AGCGAACGCUGGCGGCAGGCCUAACACAUGCAAGUCGAGCGGACGUCGCAAGACGUCAGCGGCAGACGGGAGAGUAACACGUGGGAACGUACCCUUCGGUUCGGAAUAACCCAGGGAAACUUGGGCUAAUACCGGAUACGUCCGUAAGGAGAAAGAUUUAUCGCCGAAGGAUCGGCCCGCGUCCGAUUAGCUAGUUGGUGGGGUAAUGGCCCACCAAGGCGACGAUCGGUAGCUGGUCUGAGAGGAUGAUCAGCCUCACUGGGACUGAGACACGGCCCAGACUCCUACGGGAGGCAGCAGUGGGGAAUAUUGGACAAUGGGCGCAAGCCUGAUCCAGCCAUGCCGCGUGGGUGAUGAAGGCCCUAGGGUUGUAAAGCCCUUUCGGCGGGGAAGAUAAUGAUGGUACCCGCAGAAGAAGCCCCGGCUAACUUCGUGCCAGCAGCCGCCGUAA
rnacentral:rRNA from 1 species